UACAUCCUCCCGCACCUGCGGGGCGAGGACCGCGUCUGCCACUGCAACUGUGGCCGGCACCACAUUCACUACGUGAUCCCAUACGACGGGGACCAGUCGGUGGUGGACGCCUCUGAGAACUACUUUGUGACAGACAAUGUGACCAAGCAGGAGAUCGACCUUAUGCUGGGCCUGCUGCUGGGCUUCUGCAUCAGCUGGUUCCUGGUGUGGAUGGAUGGUGUCCUGCACUGUGCUGUGCGCGCCUGGAGGGCUGGUCGGCGCUAUGAUGGCUCGUGGACCUGGCUGCCCAAGCUGUGCAGCCUGCGGGAGCCUUCAGGGACAGCAGCCUGGUCUCCACAGUGAGCAGGACACAAAGGCAGGCUCUCAGAGGUGCUGGGGCCAGGGGUGGUGGGUCCAUAGUGGGGAGAGGCUUGGCCUGGUCCACACUAGCCUAAAGCCACAUCUCAGUGAAAGCACUGUUUCUUGAGCACCUGUUGUCCAUCCGUCCGUCUGGAGGGGAGGGAUGUGUCAGGGCCUGCGCCCAUCUGCACACGGGAGCAUGUGCAUGGGGCGUGUGCGACUGGAGGGUGGGACUGGAGGGGCGGGCCCCUAGCAGCAAUAAGGAUGUGGUGGCC
rnacentral:lncRNA from 1 species